UACGGAGGGUGCGAGCGUUGUCCGGAAUUAUUGGGCGUAAAGAGCUCGUAGGCGGUCUGUCGCGUCUGCUGUGAAAACUCGGGGCUUAACCCCGGGCCUGCAGUGGGUACGGGCAGACUAGAGUGCGGUAGGGGAGACUGGAAUUCCUGGUGUAGCGGUGGAAUGCGCAGAUAUCAGGAGGAACACCAAUAGCGAAGGCAGCUCGCUGGGACGUUACUGACACUGAGGCGCGAAAGCGUGGGGAGCGAACAGG
rnacentral:rRNA from 1 species